rnacentral:rRNA from 1 species
UAAGGAAUCUUCCGCAAUGGGCGCAAGCCUGACGGAGCGACGCCGCGUGGAUGAAGAAGCCUUUCGGGGUGUAAAAUCCUUUUCUCGGAGAUGAGAGGGACAGUAUCCGAGGAAGAAGCCUCGGCUAACUACGUG